rnacentral:rRNA from 1 species
AUUGAACGCUGGCGGCAUGCCUUACACAUGCAAGUCGAACGGCAGCACGGGUCCUUGCUCCUGUUGGCGAGUGGCGAACGGGUGAGUAAUACAUCGGUACACUUCCCUUAGUUGGGGAUUGCCCUCCGAAAGCCGGAUCUAUACCCCAUACGAUCUACGUACUACAGCGUGGGGCUUUCAGGCCUCCCGCUAUAGGGUUGGCCGUUGGCUGAUUUGCUAGUUGGGGGGGUUAAGUGCUUUCAAGGCGACGAUCAGUAGCUGGACUGAGAGGAGGACCAGCGACACUGGGACUGGAACACGGCCCAGACUCCUACGGGAGGCAGCAGUGGGGAAUUUUAGGCAAUAGGCGAAAGCCUGAUACAGCAAUGCCGCGUGUGUGAAGAAGGCCUUCGGGUUGUAAAGCACUUUUGUGCGGAAAGAAAUCCUUGGGCCUAAUACGAUCGGGGGAUGACGGUACCGGAAGAAUAAGCACCGGCUAACUACGUG